AACCAUACUCCCAUCUGUCAUGGCAGCUGCAGCAAGCCUCACCCAAGGAGAGUCUGGCUGGAGGCCAAACAACACAAAACCAGCACACUUAACAAAAAUAUAACCAAUGACCCUUGCAGAGUCCACUUAACUCCCCUCCACCAGAGCAGGUGCUGGUAUCCACAGCUGAGAGACCUGAAGAUGGAUCACAUCACAGGACUCCUUGCAGACAUUCUCCAGUACCAGCCCAGAGCCUGGUAGGUCUGUUGGGUGGCUAGACCAGUAUUCUAAGUGAAGUAACUCGGAAAUGGAAAACCAAACAUCAUCUGUUCUCACUCAUCAGUAGGAGCUAAGCUAUGAGAACACAAAGACCUGUCCACGCUGAGUUUAUAGCAACUGUCAAUUACGGUUCAGAUUUUCCUACCCCAGCGUGACUUUCCAAAGAGGCUUCUGCUCAUGGAUUUCUGCUCCAGGAAGAUGCAACAGGAAGGUCCUCACAAGAUGGCUGAACAGAUGCAGGUGCUGUGCCUCUGGACUGCCUAGCCUCCAGAACUGAUACAUAUGCAGGAUGUGCAGCUUUGUUACACAGUAUGAAGCAUGUCUUUAGGACUUUCUGUGCCAUCUGGUAUCCAUCAAGGGGAGAGUCCCAAACUGCACUGGAAGGCAUCUUCCAGAUGGUGGUGGGCGCUAAAGAUCAGCUGUGUGGGUGUGAGCUUCCCAUGCCUGUGGAGAAGCAGCAAUUGAAUUGCUCAUCUGGAAUGAAGUUUCGUGGAUUUUUUUUUUUUUUGAACAGAUCACUGACUACUUCCAAUAUGCAAUACCAAGUAAAGACUGCAAAUGACUGUGCCACAGGGAGGAAAAGCAGUCAACCUGUCUUUAGGGACCUGUUCAAAUUUCUGGUGUCUCAGUGGAUGUUGAUUUCUGACAUAAAGCCAUUUGUGCACAUGAGGAAGAUACUGUAGGAGGCAUUUGCUGUGAGCCAGUGUUUGGUCUUUAGCUGAAACAGACAUUUAGCCAUAAACCACCAACCAGAAAGAUCAAUAAGACACGGUUCCUCUUCUGGUGGGCCACAUAAAGGAAGUUGUCAUGUUCCAACUUAAUGUGUGGGUUGAGAGGGAUCUGCACAAACGAGCGUCAUCGGGGAGAAAAAUAUAUCCCAGUCUGCGUGGUCACGGGGAGCUUCCUGGGCAAGCAACAUCUAGACUGGUGUUUGACCAAACUACUGGGCACCAUACCCCAGCCAAGUCAGCAUAUAAUGUGAACCAUCACAGUGGGAGACAUGUCACAAAGUGGUAAGACAGCAAGAAUUGGUGGUCUGGGCUGGAUUCCAGAGAACCUGGACUGUGCCUAUGAAGCACCACUGCCCUGUAGACCUGGGAUAAUAAACACUGAUGCCUAAAGGGACCAGGCAGGAACUCCUUCAUAGAUGAAUGCUUGGUGUUAUUCAUUACCCAGUCUUGAGGGACUCACUGGUGAGCUCGGGGCUCAGGGAGUAGACCUGACUGGGGAGCUAAGUGAUCUCGUGUGACUCUCUAUGCCUCGUUGCCACCAGCGUGGGCCAUCUCCAGGGGCUCUCAAACCGAUAGAAGACCUUGCGGUGUGGGAAAACAGCUCCAGAGCUUCUAAGCUGAGCGGAUUGUUCCUAGUGAGGAAGGUCUUGUCCCAUCUGUUCCAAGCUAUUUGUCCAUGUAAAACUGUCAACGUUCCAAGCCACUGACUGACAGGGUAAGAAGAGUGAGUCUCAAGAGAGUGAGGAACGGUGAAUCUUUGGCAGACUCUGUGUGUGCCCAUGGAAGAGACAGUGACAGAAAUUAUGUAAUGAAAAAAAUGUAGCACAAGCCUUAUGAAUUUUUACUUUUCACUCCAUGGGAUUCCCAUAUCAAAAGACCUAUUCUACACAAAAUAAAGUUCUCUA
rnacentral:lncRNA from 10 species